CCUACGGGAGGCAGCAGUGGGGAAUUUUGGACAAUGGGCGCAAGCCUGAUCCAGCCAUGCCGCGUGCGGGAAGAAGGCCUUCGGGUUGUAAACCGCUUUUGGCAGGAACGAAACGGCGACUCCUAAUACGAGUCGUUAAUGACGGUACCUGCAGAAUAAGCACCGGCUAACUACGUGCCAGCAGCCGCGGUAAUACGUAGGGUGCAAGCGUUAAUCGGAAUUACUGGGCGUAAAGCGUACGCAGGCGGCUUUGCAAGACAGGUGUGAAAUCCCCGGGCCUAACCUGGGAACUGCAUUUGUGACUGCAUGGCUAGAGUCUGUCAGAGGGGGGUGGAAUUCCACGUGUAGCAGUGAAAUGCGUAGAGAUGUGGAAGAACACCGAUGGCGAAGGCAGCCCCCUGGGAUGAGACUGACGCUCAUGUACGAAAGCGUGGGGAGCAAACAGGAUUAGAUACCCUGGUAGUCCACGCCCUAAACGAUGUCUACUAGUUGUCGGAGGGUAACUCCUUCGGUAACGCAGCUAACGCGUGAAGUAGACCGCCUGGGGAGUACGGUCGCAAGAUUAAAACUCAAAGGAAUUGACGG
rnacentral:rRNA from 1 species